UGGGGAAUAUUGCACAAUGGGCGAAAGCCUGAUGCAGCAACGCCGCGUGAGUGAUGAAGGCCUUCGGGUUGUAAAGCUCUGUCUUUUGGGACGAUAAUGACGGUACCAAAGGAGGAAGCCACGGCUAACUACGUGCCAGCAGCCGCGGUAAUACGUAGGUGGCAAGCGUUGUCCGGAUUUACGGGCGUAAAGGAUGCGUAGGCGGAUUUUUAAGUGAGAUGUGAAAUACCCGGGCUUAACUUGGGUGCUGCAUUUCAAACUGGGAAUCUAGAGUGCGGGAGAGGAGAAUGGAAUUCCUAGUGUAGCGGUGAAAUGCGUAGAGAUUAGGAAGAACACCAGUGGCGAAGGCGAUUCUCUGGACCGUAACUGACGCUGAGGCAUGAAAGCGUGGGUAGCAAACAGGAUUAGAUACCCUGGUAGUCCACGCCGUAAACGAUGAGUACUAGGUGUAGGAGGUAUCGACCCCUUCUGUGCCGCAGUUAACACAAUAAGUACUCCGCCUGGGAAGUACGAUCGCAAGAUUAAAACUUAAAUGAAUUGACGGGGUCAUAGCUG
rnacentral:rRNA from 1 species